AUUGAACGCUGGCGGCAUGCCUUACACAUGCAAGUCGAACGGCAGCGGACCUUCGGGUGCCGGCGAGUGGCGAACGGGUGAGUAAUAUAUCGGAACGUACCUUUCAGUGGGGGAUAACGUAGCGAAAGUUACGCUAAUACCGCAUAUUCUGUGAGCAGGAAAGCAGGGGGAUCGCAAGACCUUGCGCUGAUUGAGCGGCCGAUAUCAGAUUAGCUAGUUGGUGAGGUAAAGGCUCACCAAGGCGACGAUCUGUAGCGGGUCUGAGAGGAUGAUCCGCCACACUGGAACUGAGACACGGUCCAGACUCCUACGGGACCCGGNAGCAGGUGGGGUAAGUUUUGGACAAUGGGCGCAAGCCUGAUCCAGCCAUGCCGCGUGAGUGAAGAAGGCC
rnacentral:rRNA from 1 species